ensembl:lncRNA
CCGCCUCUCUCGUGAAUGAAGUGCGGCGCGCAGUUUGGAGGAUCUUAGUUUGUUUGCAGUAUGAAGAUGGAUAGAUGCCAUUUCUACGAAACGCUACUAUCAGUGCAACCUGUGAUGAUUUAUCCUGUUCUUCAUUGAUGUAGCCACAGAUGAACUGUUUGAAGAAAGCUUGCGGUGCCUCAAGGGAGACCGAAUUCCCCAGAGAAGAUGCAUGGAUGUGCACCUAAAUGCCACUGGAGAGAUGAUCAACUACAGACACCCUCUGCAUCCCCGCCUCAUUAUACCUCCAUACUACGAGCCUCUUUAAUACCCAGCCUUCCUAAAGAGCAGCGUGCCGAGCUUCAUUUCCUCCUGUGAGACAGCCAUGCCCUGAGAAUAAGUGGAUGACACUCAGACAUUGUUUUCGUGUGCUGGUGAUGUGCUGGUAGAGCUGACCCUUAGUACAGCUUCCUACUCUGACAGCCAGGGGCCGUUAAGGGCCAUGUGGGCCCGGCUGCAGCUGCUCCACUCUCCUUGCCCACUCAGCAGGCACACUGUGCCCUUUGAGCCCACCUGCCAUUCAAUCCAGCACAGAUGUGCCCUCAGCUGUUCUCUGUGCCAUUACUGCUCCCUGCACUUUUUAUCCUGCACCUCGGAGACCCCAAACUGCCAAACGAGGUGAAUUAUGGCCAGUUAUAUGGAGUGGACUCUGAGCCACGGGGGACAGGACAUAGUCAGAAGAACUAACCACAGUUCUGACCAUUAAAAGCCAGCCUGACACUGGCCCUUCAUCUUUCCUCCUCCACGAGACGAGUGCUCCCAACCUUUGCUUCCCAUGAGAAGAGACAGAGCCGAGAGAAGAGAGCCCCCUCAGCCCAGGCACGCUUCCCCCUAUCAUUAUGAGUUAAGCUUCUCACCUCUACCUUUCUUUCUGGGAGUCUCCCUCUCUUCUUCUCCCUCUCUCUUUAUCAUACUGUGGCUUUUCGGCUUUGUGCUGUUUUCUUUUUGUUGCUCUUUUUUUCUGUCUCUGCCUGUCCUUCUUUAUUUCUCUCUGCAAGGUUAAUUGCAUUAGUUAAAAGAAGCCCUGCCUGUUGGUUGCUUAUGGAGGUCGCAGUUAGGCAUAUGACCCUCACAAAUCUGCUCUGGCCACCCACCACCGCAGCUGAGAUGAUAGGGCUGCUGAUGAGGCUUCAGUUGGUGUCCUGGUCUGCUGGGUAUCCCAAAAU